rnacentral:lncRNA from 1 species
GGAGGAGUCCGCGCUGUGAGGCAUUUAACCAAAAGAAUUAAAAGAAUAUGGCCACAAAGAGAUUUGGUCAACCUCAUUCAUAGCAGUUUAUCCAGAACAGUCAAAAAGUGGAGCCUGUCCAGGAAUCCAUGACCAGAAGAUGUGGUGAAUUGUAUGAUGUGAGGCUGCUCAGCAGCAGAAGAGCCUGCAGCAACACGAGUGUGUCUCAGAUACAGUUGGCUGAGUAAAGAAGCUUCACAUGCAAGAAUGCCUACUGCAAGAUUCAUUUUGGUUAUGUUUCAGAAGAGGCACAACUGAUGUUUAGUGGAAAGAACCAGCAUGUCAGUUGCCAUGAAUCAUGAAAUUGAGUUGGCAGUCUUUGCUUGGUCAGAGCCUGAUGUUUCCUGAAUUUAGAACUUGGUUCCCCCGAGACCCUCUGGACUAAUUUAAAAUGAUUCAUCCGCGUGAGUCAUUGCCCUGCUGCCUUCAGGACAAGAUGUCUAUCUAUUGUCUUGCUGCUACCAUUUUUUACAAAUAACUCCAGCUCAGCAGCUGCAGACUCGAGACCCUGCACCUGGUGACAUCGGCCGGAAGACAUCAGCUGGCUCUCUGCAGACACACCUGGAGGGAGGGUUUGGGAGGAAGGGGGCUGGGGCCUCCGGUCUGACCACCUCUGAAACACCAUCCCAGGCUGUCUCUGAGGUUCAUGUGGUUUGGGUCAGAUUCUCAGUAGAAUGAGAGGCAUUUCAGGGACCUUCCAAGUCCUGAAAGAAGCCACUGGGCAAAUAAUUGGGUGUCACAUUCCUUUUAGAGCCAGAAGGAAACAACAUCCUAUCAGAAGGAAGGGGAAUUUCCUGCCAUGAAAAGGAAUCUUAGAGCAAAACCGAGUCAUGGUUUUGCCCGAAUUUUAAAAUCCUGUUGCUUAUAUGGAAGCAUAUGGGUCCUAACAAUUUCUCUUUCAAAAUCCUCAUAGUGAAUGACAUUAUGGCCAUGUUUCUCCCUCAAGUGUGUCUUAAAAAUGCAUCUAGAGUCUAACUAUAAAGGCAUCAUUCAGUUGUAA